rnacentral:rRNA from 1 species
CUCGUAGGCGGCUCGGUAAGUUGGGUGUGAAAACUCCAGGCUCAACCUGGAGAGGCCACUCAAUACUGCCGUGGCUAGAGUUCGGUAGAGGAUCGUGGAAUUUCUGGUGUAGCGGUGAAAUGCGCAGAUAUCAGAAGGAACACCAACGGCGAAGGCAGCGAUCUGGGCCGAUACUGACGCUGAGGAGCGAAAGCAUGGGGAGCAAACA